GCGCCCGUAGCUCAGCGGAAGAGCGGUUGUCUUAUAAACAACAGGUGCUUGGAUCGUCCCCAAGCGGGCGCACCU
rnacentral:tRNA from 1 species